GCAUGCGCAGCGGCAGACGGCGGCGCGAGCCCAGCCGGGAGAUGGCGGCGGCGGCGGCGGCGGCUCCGAGAGUGUGAGCACCACCCGGGAGCCGCCCGCCUGGGCGUAGUGCGACCCCAACGCUGCCCGCCCGUCCGCCUGCCUGCCAUGGGCAACGAGGCCAGCCUAGAAGGCGGUGCUGGCGACGGGCCGCUGCCGCCAGGAGGCCCCGGCCCGGGCCCGGGCCCCGGCGCAGGGAAGCCGCCUUCAGCACCAGCCGGCGGCGGACAGCUCCCCACGGCGGGUGCGGCGCGGGCGACCGCGGGACCACCGGGCCCUGGCCCUGGCCCUGGCCCUGGCCCCGGUCCCAGCUCGGGCUCGGGCAGCGCUUCCCGGAGACUGGACCCCAAGGAACCUGUGGGUAGCCAGAGAGCAGCUUCCCCAACCCCGAAGCAGGCUUCCACUACUGCUCCUGGCCGAGAGAGCCCCCGGGAGACGAGGGCGCAGGGCCCAGCAGGCCAGGAGGCUGAUGGCCCCCGCAGGACGCUGCAGGUAGACAGCAGGACGCAGAGAGCAGGGCGGUCCCCCUCGGUGUCGCCGGACAGAGGCAGCACCCCCACAUCACCCUACUCCGUCCCCCAGAUUGCCCCCCUUCCCAGCAGCACCCUGUGUCCCAUAUGCAAGACCUCGGACCUCACGUCGACCCCCAGCCAGCCAAACUUCAACACCUGCACCCAGUGUCACAACAAAGUCUGCAACCAGUGUGGGUUCAACCCCAACCCUCAUCUCACCCAGGUGAAGGAGUGGCUCUGUCUGAACUGUCAGAUGCAGAGGGCUCUGGGAAUGGACAUGACCACUGCGCCUCGCUCCAAGAGCCAGCAGCAGCUGCACUCCCCAGCCCUGUCUCCUGCCCACUCCCCAGCCAAACAGCCCCUGGGGAAGCCAGAGCAAGAGAGAUCUCGGGGCCCAGGGGGACCGCAGCCUGGCCCCCGCCAGGCUGAGGCAGCCAGGGCCACCUCAGUGCCGGGGCCUGCACAAGCAGCUGCCCCUCCAGAGGUGGGGAGGGCAUCUCCUCAGCCCCCUCACCCCACCAAGCCUUCCACAACUGAGCCUAGGCCACCUGCAGGAGAGGCCCCAGCAAAAAGUGCCACUGCAGCGCCCUCUGGGCCUGGUGCUGCCGAGCAGACCCAAGAGGGCCUCACUGGGAAGCUCUUCGGCCUUGGCGCAUCACUGCUAACCCAGGCAAGCACCCUCAUGUCUGUGCAGCCUGAGGCUGACCCCCAGGGCCAGGCUGCACCCAGUAAGGGGCCGCCCAAGAUCGUCUUCAGCGAUGCCAGCAAGGAGGCUGGUCCAAGACCUCCAGGCUCAGGACCUGGGCCUGGACCAGUAUCUGGAGCCAAAACUGAGCCUGGGGCUAGAACAGGCCCUGGAUCAGGGCCUGGAGCCCUGGCAAAAACUGGAGGAACAACCAGUCCAAAACAUGGCAGAGCAGAACAUCAGGCAGCAUCCAAGGCUGCUGCCAAGCCAAAGACCAUGCCGAAGGAAAGGGCUACCUGCCCGCUGUGCCAAGCCGAGCUCAACGUGGGCAGCAAGGGCCCAGCCAACUAUAACACCUGCACCACCUGCAAGCUCCAGGUGUGCAACCUGUGUGGCUUUAACCCAACACCCCACCUGGUAGAGAAAACAGAGUGGCUCUGUCUGAACUGCCAAACUAAGCGGCUGCUGGAGGGCGGCCUGGGAGAGCCGACCCCGCUGCCGCUGCCCACCUCACAGCAGCCCCCUUCGGGGACCCCUCACCGUGCCGCUGGAACAGCCCCUCCGAAGCAGAAAGGGCCACAGGGGCCCAGCCAACCACCAGGCCCUCUGCCUGCCAAGGCCAGCCCCCUACCCACCAAGACCAGCCCCCUGCCCACAAAGGCCAGCACCCAGUCCAAGCCCCUCAGAGCUUCUGAACCCAGCAAGACCCCAAGCAGUGCCCAGGAAAAGAAGACAGGAGUCCCUGCAAAAGCUGAGUCUGUGCCGAAGCCACCUCCAGAAACGACCCCGCCCCCUGGGGCUCCUAAAGUAAAGAGCGGGGUGAGGAGGAUUGAACCUGCCCCCCCUGUCGUCAAGGCAGCUCCAGAAGCCCCCAAGGGUGGGGAAGCAGAGGAACCGGUGGGCAAGCCUUACCCUCAGGACCUGUCACGGAGCCCACAGAGCCUCAGUGACACAGGCUAUUCUUCCGACGGCAUCUCCAGCUCCCAGAGUGAGAUCACAGGUGUGGUGCGGCAGGAGGUGGAGCAGCUGGACAGCGCGGGGGUGACAGGGCCACGGCCGCCCAGCCCCUCUGAGCUCCACAAGGUGGGGAGCAGCAUGCGUCCUUUGCUGGAGACACAGGGCCUGGCCCCCAGUGGUGGUGAGCGGAGCAAGGCCCCCAGCAGCAGCACUGGUAAGGAGCAGAAGCGGCGGCCCCACUCCUUGUCCAUUAUGCCCGAGGCCUUCGACUCUGACGAGGAGCUGGAGGAUAUCCUGGAGGAGGAGGAGGGCUCCCUGCAGUGGCAGCGCCAGCGGGAGCAGCGGGAUGCCGCCGAGUCCUCAGACGACUUCGGCAGCCAGCUGAGGCACGACUAUGUGGAGGACAGCAGCGAGGGCGGCCUGUCCCCUGUUCCACCGCAGCCCCCGGCCCGGGCAGCUGAGCUGACUGAUGAGGAGUUCAUGCGACGGCAGAUCCUGGAGAUGAGUGCUGAGGAAGACAACCUAGAAGACGAUGACACUGCCACCUCCGGACACGGCCUGGCCAAACCUGGUACCCAGAAGGGCGGCCCCAGGACCAGGCCUGAGCCUGGCCAAGAACCAGUAGCCCUGCCCAAGAGGCGCCUGCCCCACAAUGCCACGACUGGCUAUGAGGAACUGCUCUCUGAGGCGGGGCCGUCAGAGGACACAGACGGGAGCGGGUCGCUGCAGGGUGGACUCCGACGCUUCAAGACCAUUGAGCUCAACAGCACGGGCAGCUAUGGUCAUGAGCUAGACCUGGGCCAAGGCCCUGACCCCAGCCUCGACCGGGAGCCUGAGUUGGAGAUGGAGAGCCUGACGGGCUCGCCAGAGGACCGCUCCCGUGGGGAGCACUCCUCCACCCUGCCCGCCUCCACACCCAGCUACACGUCGGGCACCUCCCCCACCUCCCUGUCCUCACUGGAGGAGGACAGUGACAGCAGCCCCAGCCGCCGGCAGCGACUAGAAGAAGCCAAACAGCAGCGCAAGGCCCGGCACCGCUCCCAUGGGCCCCUGCUGCCCACCAUCGAGGACUCCUCAGAGGAGGAGGAGCUGCGGGAGGAAGAGGAGCUGCUGCGGGAGCAGGAGAAGAUGCGGGAGGUGGAGCAGCAGCGCAUCCGCAGCACGGCCCGCAAGACCCGGCGUGACAAGGAGGAGCUGCGGGCCCAGCGGCGGCGCGAGCGCUCCAAAACACCCCCCAGCAACCUGUCGCCCAUCGAGGACGCGUCCCCCACGGAGGAACUGAGGCAGGCAGCAGAGAUGGAGGAGCUGCACCGCUCCUCGUGCUCUGAGUACUCGCCCUCGCCCUCCCUUGACUCGGAGGCCGAGGCCCUGGACGGAGGCCCCAGCCGGCUCUAUAAGUCGGGCAGUGAGUACAACCUGCCCACCUUCAUGUCCCUCUACUCACCAACCGAGACGCCUGUGGGCAGCGCCCCCACGCCCAGCGCCGCACGGCCCCUCAAGAGUGCGGAGGAGGCCUAUGAGGAGAUGAUGCGGAAGGCUGAGCUGCUGCAGCGGCAGCAGGGCCAGGGGCCGGGGGCCAGGGGGCCUCAUGCAGGCCAGGGCGCCUUUGACUACCAGGACACCCCAGACCGUGACUAUGGCAGGGCCGCCCAGCCUGCCCCAGAGGGCCCGCCGGCUGGCGUGGGAACAGCCGUGUACGAGGAGAUCCUUCAGACGUCACAAAGCAUCGCGCGCAUGCGGCAGGCUUCCUCGAGGGACCUGGCCUUCGCUGAGGACAAGAAGAAGGAGAAGCAGUUUCUGAAUGCUGACAGUGCAUACAUGGACCCGAUGAAGCAAAAUGGUGGCCCACUGACGCCAGGAACCAGUCCCACCCAGCUCGCUGCCCCCGUGUCCUUCUCCACCUCCACCCCCUCAGACAGCAGCGGAGGCCGAGUUAUCCCCGAUGUCCGUGUCACUCAGCAUUUCGCAAAGGAGCCUCAGGAACCCCUCAGGCUGCACAGCUCUGCUGCCUCCCCCAGCUCUGCCUCCAAGGAGGCAGGUGUGUCUGUCUCCCAGGGGCCUGGGGCGCCAGCCACGCCAGCUGUGGCUCCUUGUCCAGCUGGUCUGCCACGAGGGUAUAUAACCCCGGCCCCUGCUGCCGGCUCUGAGCGCAUUCCUCCACCAUCCUCUGCAGGCCACGGCUAUGGCCCAAGCCCAAGCACUGCAAACUAUGCGUCCCAAACCGAGGAGCUGCCCCAGGCCCCCGGUGGCACUGCUGCAGGUGGACGGGCUUCCAGAGAGAAGUCCCUGAGCGGGGGCGAUGGUGACAUUGGUACUCCACAGACUUCCCGGGGAUAUUCCUACUUUGUGGGUUCCAGCCCACCAGUCUCCCCGUCUUCCCCCUCGGAGAGUCCCACGUUCUCCCCCGGCAAGCUGGGCCCACGGGCCACAGCAGAGUUCUCUACACAGACGCCAAGUGCAGUGCCUGCCUUGGACAUGCCACGGAGCCCCGGUGCCCCCACCUCGACACCCAUGGUAGCCCAGGGCACACAAACACCACAUCGACCCAGCACGCCUCGCCUGGUGUGGCAGCAGUCCUCUCAGGAGGCACCCAUUAUGGUCAUCACCCUGGCAUCAGACGCCUCUAGCCAGACCAGGAUGGUACAUGCCAGCGCCUCUACCUCCCCACUCAGCUCACCUACAGACACCCAGCCCACCGCCCACAGCUACAGCCAGACAACACCUCCCAGUGGGUCUCAGAUGCCCCCAGAGCCACCUGGGCCCCCUGGCUUCCCACGGGCACCCAGUGCUGGGGCAGACGGGCCCUUGGCCCUGUAUGGCUGGGGCGCCCUCCCUGCUGAGAACAUCUCCCUGUGCCGGAUCUCCUCUGUCCCUGGAACAUCCAGGGUUGAGCCGGGCCCCAGGCCUCCUGGCAGUGCAGUGGUAGACCUCCGUACAGCUGUCAAGCCCACACCCAUCAUCCUCACUGACCAGGGCAUGGACCUGACCUCUCUUGCUGCAGAAGCAAGGAAAUAUGGCCUCGCUCUGGAUCCAAUUCCAGGACGGCAGUCGACCGCUGUGCAGCCCUUGGUUAUCAACCUCAAUGCCCAGGAGCAGACCCACACCUUUCUCGGCACUGCCACCACCGUGAGCAUCACCAUGUCCUCCUCUGUGCUCAUGGCUCAGCAAAAGCAGCCCGUGGUCUAUGGAGACCCUUUCCAGAGCCGGCUUGACUUUGGUCAGGGGUCAGGGAGCCCUGUGUGCCUGGCCCAGGUCAAGCAGGUAGAACAAGCUGUCCAGACAGCCCCGUACCGAGGGGGACCCCGGGGAAGACCCAGGGAGGCCAAGUUUGCUAGGUAUAACCUACCCAACCAGAUGGCACCUCUGGCCAGAAGAGAUGUUUUGAUCACUCAAAUGGGCACUGCCCAGAGCGUGGGCCUCAAGGCUGGGCCAGUGCCAGAGCCCGGAGCUGAGCCCCACCGGGUCACCCCAGCAGAGCUGCGGUCACAUGCUCUGCCAGGUGCCAGGAAGCCACACACAGUGGUGGUGCAGAUGGGAGAGGGCACAGCAGGCACUGUGACCACUCUGCUCCCAGAGGAACCAGCAGGUGCCCUGGACCUUACGGGGAUGAGACCAGAGAGCCAGCUGGCAUGCUGUGACAUGGUCUACAAGUUCCCCUUUGGCAGUAGCUGCACUGGCACCUUCCACCCUGCCCCCAGCGCACCUGAGAAGAGUGUGUCAGAUGCCGCUCCACCUGGCCCAAGCAGUGGCCCCUUCUAUGGUCCCCGGGACUCCGAGCCUCCUGAGCCCCCCACCUACCGGGCACAGGGAGUCAUGGGGCCCGGGCCCCAUGAGGAACAGAGGCCCUACCCACAGGGCCUCCCUGGAAGACUAUACUCCUCCAUGUCUGACACCAAUCUGGCUGAGGCUGGUCUCAACUACCACGCCCACAGGAUUGGGCAGCUCCUCCAGGGUGCUGGACGAGACUCGGCCAUGGACCUCAGCUCCCUGAAGCACUCCUACAGCCUGGGCUUCACAGACGGACGCUACGUAGGGCAGGGCCUGCAGUAUGGCUCGUUUACAGACCUGCGUCAGCCCACGGAUCUUUUGACUCACCCGCUUCCCAUGCGGCGCUAUAGCUCAGUGUCCAACAUUUACUCAGACCACAGGUAUGGCACACGGGGAGAUGCAGUUGGUUUCCAAGAGGCCAGUCUGGCCCAGUACAGUGCCACCACGGCCCGUGAGAUCAGCCGCAUGUGUGCCGCCCUCAACUCCAUGGACCAGUACGGCGGGCGACGUGGCAGCAGUGGUGGUGGCCCUGACCUUGCGCAGUACCAGCCCCAGCAUGGGCCUGGGCUCAGUGCUCCGCAGGUUCUGGCUCCCCUCAGACCUGGCCUCCUUGGUAACCCCACCUUCCCAGAGGGCCACCCGAGUCCUGGGAACCUGGCCCAGUACGGACCUGCGGCAGGCCAGGGAACAGCAGUCAGACAGCUGCUGCCAUCCACAGCCACUGUGCGUGCCGCUGAUGGCAUGAUCUAUUCUACUAUUAACACCCCAAUUGCUGCAACACUGCCCAUCACCACCCAGCCUGCCUCAGUCCUGCGGCCCAUGGUGCGUGGUGGCAUGUACAGGCCUUAUGCAUCUGGUGGGGUUACAGCUGUGCCCCUCACCAGCCUGACACGCAUGCCCAUCAUUGCACCCCGGGUACCUCUUGGGCCCCCAGGCCUGUUCCGAUACCCUGCACCGGGUAGAUUCCCCAUUGCUUCCAGUGUCCCACCUGCGGAGGGGCCUGUCUACCUGGGGAAACCUGCUGCUGCCAAGGCCCCUGGGACCGGAGGCCCACCACGGCCAGAGCUGCCAGCAGGGGCUGCACGGGAAGAACCUCUUAGCACCACCACCCCAGCUGCUGUUAAGGAGGCCGUGGCCGCCCCAGCCUCUGCUCCACUAGCUGGCCAGAAGCUGCCAGGAGAUGCUGCUCCUGGGGCUGGCAGUGCAGCCCUCAGCCGGCCAGGGCCCGAGAAGGAGGAAGCAUCGCAGGAGGAGAGGCAGCGGAAGCAGCAGGAGCAGCUGCUGCAGCUGGAGCGGGAGCGAGUCGAGUUGGAGAAGCUGCGACAGCUGCGGCUGCAAGAGGAGCUGGAGAGGGAGCGUGUGGAGCUUCAGCGGCACCGCGAGGAAGAGCAGCUGCUGGUGCAGCGGGAGCUGCAGGAGCUGCAGACCAUCAAGCACCACGUGCUGCAGCAGCAGCAGGAGGAGCGCCAGGCUCAGUUUGCACUGCAGCGAGAGCAGCUGGCGCAGCAGCGCCUGCAGCUGGAGCAGAUCCAGCAGCUGCAGCAGCAGCUGCAGCAGCAGCUAGAGGAGCAGAAGCAGCGGCAGAAGGCUCCCUUCCCCGCAGCCUGUGAGGCACCCGGCCGAGGGCCUCCCCCGGCUGCACCUGAGUUGGCCCAGAAUGGCCAGUACUGGCCGCCCCUAAGCCACACAGCCUUCAUUGCUGUGGCAGGGCCUGAGGGGCCUGGGCAGCCUCGUGAGCCUGUGCUGCACCGGGGUCUCCCCAGCUCCGCCUCAGACAUGUCCCUGCAGACUGAGGAGCAGUGGGAGACAAGCCGGGCUGGCAUCAAGAAGCGGCACUCCAUGCCACGCCUGCGGGAUGCGUGUGAGUCAGAGCCGGGACCUGAGCCCGGCGCCGUCAGGAGGAUUGCAGACAGCAGCGUGCAGACGGACGACGAAGACGGGGAGGGCCGCUACCUCCUGCCCCGGCGGCGCCGCACACGGCGCAGUGCUGACUGCAGUGUGCAGACCGACGACGAGGACAACGCCGAAUGGGAGCAGCCGGUGCGCCGCCGCAGGACCCGGCUGUCCCGCCACUCGGACUCCAGCUCCGACAGCAAGCACGAGGCCACUGCCUCAGCACCCCCUGCCGCUGCUGCCGCGAGGGCCGUGAGCAGUGUGGGCAUCCAGACCAUCAGUGACUGCUCUGUACAGACGGAGCCUGACCCGCUGCCCAGGGUCUCUCCGGCCAUCCACAUCACAGCUGCCACUGACCCCAAGGUGGAGAUCGUCAAGUACAUAUCAGCGCCAGAGAAGACGGGGCGUGGGGAAAGCCUGGCCUGCCAGACAGAGCCAGAUGCGCAGGCCCAGGCUGUGGCCGGGACACAGCUUGUAGGGCCAACUGCCAUCAGCCCCUACCUGCCUGGCAUCCAAAUCGUCACCCCAGGGCCCCUGGGCAGAUUUGAAAAAAAGAAGCCAGAUCCCCUGGAGAUUGGGUACCAGGCCCACCUGCCCCCGGAGUCCCUCUCACAGCUCGUGAGCCGCCAGCCUCCCAAGUCCCCUCAGGUCCUCUACUCACCAGUGUCGCCCCUGUCCCCACACCGGCUCCUGGACACCUCCUUUGCUUCCAGUGAGAGGCUGAACAAGGCUCACGUGAGUCCCCAGAAGCACUUCGCAGCUGACAGCACUCUCCGCCAGCAGACGCUGCCUCGCCCCAUGAAGACCCUGCAGAGGUCCUUGUCUGACCCUAAGCCCCUCAGCCCCACCGCCGAGGAGUCUGCCAAAGAGAGAUUCUCCCUCUACCAGCACCAGGGGGGGCUGGGUAGCCAGGUGUCGGCGCUGCCACCCAACGGCCUGGUCCGCAAGGUGAAGCGGACACUGCCCAGCCCCCCUCCAGAGGAGGCUCACCUUCCCCUGGCUGGCCAGGCCCCCCCACAGCUGUAUGCAGCCAGCCUGUUGCAGCGAGGGCUGGCGGGGCCCACCGCUGUCCCUGCCACCAAGGCCAGCCUGCUCCGGGAGCUGGACCGGGACCUGCGGCUGGUGGAGCAUGAGUCCACCAAGCUGCGCAAGAAGCAGGCAGAGCUGGAUGAGGAGGAGAAGGAGAUUGACGCCAAGCUCAAGUACCUGGAGCUGGGUAUCACACAGCGCAAAGAGUCUUUGGCCAAAGACCGGGGUGGCCGUGACUACCCACCCUUGCGUGGUCUUGGUGAGCAUCGUGACUACCUAUCGGACAGUGAGCUCAACCAGCUGCGGCUCCAGGGCUGCACGGCUCCAGCCGGACAGUAUGGGGACUUCCCUGCCACUGCCGCCGCUCCUGCCACCCCCUCUGGCCCCACUGCCUUCCAGCAGCCACGGUUCCCACCUCCGGCCCCACAGUACACUGCAGGCAGUGCUGGGAUGACUCAGAACGGAGUCCCAGCCCACCAGGCACCCACCUACCCUGGCUCUAGCACCUAUCCAGCACCUGCCUUUCCUCCUGGCACCAGUUACCCAACUGAGCCUGGCCUGACAAACCAGCAGGCUUUCCGUCCCACAGGCCACUAUACAGCCCAAACGUCCAUGCCAGCCACACAGAGCACCCACUUUCCAGUCCCAGCUGACAGCCGUGCCCUCCACCAGAAGCCACGCCAGACAUCACUGGCUGACUUGGAGCAGAAGGUGCCCACCAACUACGAGGUGAUCACCAGCCCCGUUGUAGCCGUGUCUUCAGCCACCUCUGAAACCAGCUACAGUGGCCCAGCAGUGAGCAGCAGCUACGAGCAGGGCAAGGUCCCUGAGCUGCCCCGGGCCAGCGACCGUAGUGGUGUGAGCCAGAGCCCAGCCCCCACCUACCCUCCUGACUCACACUACACCAGCCUGGAGCAGAAUGUUCCUCGGAACUACGUGAUGAUCGACGACAUCAGUGAGCUGACCAAGGACAGCACCUCCACGGCCCCAGAGAGCCAGCGGUUGGAUCCCUCGGGGCCGGGUGGCAGCGGACGUCCAGGGAAAGAGCCUGGAGAGCCUGGCAUCCUUGAGGGGUCGGCACUGCCCUGCUGCUAUGCCCGCGGGGAGGAGGAAUCCGAGGAGGACUCCUACGAGCCCCGUGGGAAGGUUGGCCACCACCGGAGCGUGGAGAGCAAUGGCCGACCAGCCAGUGCCCACUACUACAGUGACAGUGACUACAGACAUGGGGCCCGGGCAGAGAAAUAUGGUCCGGGGCCCUCAGGACCCAAGCAUCCCUCCAAGAGCCUGGCCCCUGCUGCCAUCCCGUCCAAGCGCAGCAAGCACCGGAAGCAGGGAAUGGAGCAAAAGAUCUCCAAGUUCUCGCCUAUUGAGGAGGCCAAAGACGUGGAGUCAGACCUGGCCUCCUACCCCCCCUCUGCCGUCAGCAGCAGCCUGGCCUCUCGGGGCAGGAAGUUCCAGGACGACAUCACCUACGGGCUCAAGAAGAACGUGUAUGAACAGCAGAGGUACUACGGGGUGUCCAGCCGGGACGCAGUGGAGGAGGAUGACCGCAUGUAUGGUGGGAGCAGCCGGUCCCGGGGGGCAUCCGCUUAUAGUGGGGAGAAGCUGUCGAGCCACGACUUCAGUGGCCGAGGCAAGGGGUACGAACGGGAACGGGAGACUGUGGAGCGACUUCAAAAAGCAGGUCCCAAGCCCUCGUCCUUAAGCAUGGCCCACAGCCGGGGACGGCCCCCCAUGCGGAGCCAAGCUUCUGAAGAGGAGAGCCCCGUCAGCCCCUUGGGACGGCCCCGCCCUGCCGGGGGGACCCUCCCUCCUGGGGAUAGCUGCCCGCAGUUCUGCUCCAGCCACUCCAUGCCUGACGUCCAGGAGCACGUCAAGGACGGGCCUCGGGCCCACGCGUAUAAGCGUGAGGAGGGCUACAUCCUGGAUGACUCCCACUGCGUGGUUUCCGACAGCGAAGCGUAUCACCUGGGCCAGGAGGAGACAGACUGGUUUGAUAAGCCCCGGGAUGCCCGCUCCGACCGGUUCAGGCACCAUGGGGGCCAUGCAGUCUCCUCCUCCCAGAAGCGAGGCCCUGCCAGGCACAGCUACCAUGACUACGACGAACCCUCCGAGGAGGGCCUGUGGGCUCCCGAUGAGGGUGGCCCUGGCCGCCAUGCCUCAGCCAAGGAACACCGGCAUCACAGUGACCAUGGGCGGCACUCGAGUCGCCACACUGGCGAGGAGCCAGGACGGCGUGCCACCAAACCGCACGCUCGGGACAUGGGUCGCCACGAGGCCCGGCCUCACCCUCAACCCAGCCCUGCCCCAGCCAUGCCGAAGAAGGGUCAGCCUGGGUACCCCAGCUCUGCAGAAUACUCACAGCCACCACGUGUUCCGUCAGCAUACCAUCAUGCCUCCGACAGCAAAAAGGGCUCCCGGCAGGCCCACUCUGGGCCCGCUGCCCUGCAGCCAAAGCCAGAACCCCAGGCACAGCCACAGGCAGCUCCAGGUCGACAGACAACUCCAGGGCCACAGCAGUCACAGCCACCGCCAUCCAGACAGCUGCCUUCAGGGGCAGCCACACGCCAGCCGCAGCCGCAGCCGCAGCAGCAGCAGCAGCAGCAGCAGCAAGGCCUUGGACAGCAGCCUCCACAGCAGGCGCCGCCACAGGCUCGGCUGCAGCAGCAGAGCCAGCCAUCUGCCAGGGGCCCGGCCCCUGCUUCCAGCCAGCCAGCAGGGAAACCUCAGCCAGGCCCCACGCCAGCCGCAGGCCCCCCGCCAGCAGGACCACCACGGGCAGAACAAGCAAAUGGCUCUAAAGCCACAGCCAAGGCACCCCAACAGGGGAGGGCUCCUCAGGCUCAGCCGACACCAGGACCUGGAUCUGCAGGCCUGAAGACUGGAGCCAGGCCUGGAGGCGCCCCAGGGGCUCCCGCAGGCCAGCCGGGUGCUGAUGGGGAGAGUGUGCUCUCCAAGAUCCUCCCUGGCGGGGCAGCAGAACAAGCUGGCAAGCUGACGGAAGCUGUCUCUGCUUUUGGCAAAAAAUUCUCCUCGUUCUGGUGACCACGCCCAGCAGGGCUCUUGAAGAGAUGAAGAGAGGUUGAUAACAUUGCUGUGGAAAAAUCUCUGGAGGCAGAGAUCUGGGCGCAGCUCUGGACUCUGCGUAUAACACAUCUGCAUUCUGGCAAACCCUUGGCCCAAAGAUUCACACCAGGUGGGACGUGGCAGGCUGGCCUCAGUUGAGGACGGAGAGUCACCUGACAGCAGCUGCCUGCGUGAAAUACCUGCUGGAUGAGUGGGACCACUGGCCUGGGGGAACCCUGGUUGUCUUUGCCGAGACCCUGCUCUCCUCAGGGCACCGCCAUUGAGGCACAGCCAUCGGCCGUUGGGAGGGAGGCGCCCUCUGCAGCAGCCUGCACCAUGGCUGUCUCGCCACGCGUCCCACAGCCGCCUUUUGCCCCGGUGCGUUAUACGCAGAGUUUGGACACACACUGCCCUCCCUCCGAGAUGCCAGACGUUUUUCCACAGCCUUGGAGAGGGGCUUUGCCUGAGGGCUGGGGGCCCUGGGCUCCGUUUCCUUCACAUUCCAGCUGGCCCAGAUCCCUCUGUGGCCACAGGGCCCUGCCCCCACACCCUGCCCUCUGGGUGACACGGGAGCAGACCUUCUAGUGGCCAGCGUAGGGUUGGGAGAACUUUACAAACAUUAGGACCUAACACUGUCUCAUCGCUGAACUAAGAGGCCAUAGCACCGACAAGCAGCGUGGGCGCCGGCUGAGGCUCCUCCCAGCCCUUGGGUGGCAGCGUGCGAGCACGCAGGCCAUCAUCUUAAAGCCAUCCCCCUAACCAUCGUGCACAUCCCAGCGGCACCGCCAUUGUCUCCACCAGCCACCAGCCGGCUCCUCCUCGUCCCGACACCUGGGGGUUUCUUUUGAUUUCGAGAACAGCCUUAAUCAUUCCGCUUUGAUUUACGUGUAUACCUCAUAAACAUUCACGUUCGUUUCUCUCUCUCCCUUUCUCUCUUCUCUUUGCUCACCCCCUUGCCUCUCCCUGCAGCACCACAUUGUGACUGACGGUUUGGUUCCCUCUCUGCUCUGCCCCUGCUCAGCACGGGAGAAUGUUGACUUAGAAGCAAUAGGGGGCGGCUUGCCACCAAGAGCACAACCCCGGGGCGAGGUCUAGGGAGGCCCCCCGCCCGCCUCUGUUUACUGUGCAAUCCCAGUCCUUCUUAAGCCAUCACCAGUGCGUGUGCUCAGAGCAGAGGGGCCAGGGCUUCUGCCAGCCCAGGGAGAGGCCCAGAGCCCCACGUGGGGAAGCGUGGCGCCGUUUCUCCACCUGGUGGCCUGGGCGGCAUUCCUCCCCAGGACCCUUUCCUUGGGGGCCUCCCUUCAUCUUGGGCACAGCCACAAGUCUCAUCUCUGAUGUUCUAUGCAAUGAAAUAUAAACCCUCAAAGACAACUGUUAAUAUUUAAUAAAUUCCAUGUUAUGUAUAAGGAGUUAAUUGCAACCGUGCAAUUGAGAAACUGGAUAGAUCUGCUCACAUCCCCUCCUCCCCCCCCGCCCCUCUCCCGUGUGUGUGAAAUUCUCCGUCUGUGGCAUGCUUGACCUGCGGCAGGACUCGCUGCUGCCGGGCGAGCCACCGCCUGCCCCGCCGCGGAGCAUGCGCAGCUCGCAGCCUCUUUGCACGACUUCAUCCAUCUUAAACGCUCGACCCCUUUGCUUGGAGUUCUUUUUGCCUCAGAACCUCUCCUUCAGGAGCACUACUAGCUGACUUCUGCACAGCUGGUGAGGACCCACCAGUUGUCGCCUGAGCGUGCCAGGCUGCGGGCCAGGCAGUGUGAGGCCCCACAUGCCCUGCCGCGUUCUCAUCCAAGAAGCAGGUAAAAAGGAGUCCACGGAGUAGACAUGAUGGUGGGAGCCUGCCCAGGAUGCAUGUGUGCGAAUGUUCUGAAGGUUUGCUGUAGGAUUGCUGUCCGUAUGUCAUUCUCCCCUCCUACCCGAGCCCCAGACCGGAGGCAUCUGACUGCCCCUUCCCAGUGGGGCACUGCUUAAGGGCAGAGCUGGGCAGCAUUCACAGUCAGAGAGGCAGAGGCCAGACAGAACCUGGCUAUGCUCUGUGGGCCCAGCUUCUGCGUGCAGCUGCUCCCUGCCUCUCCCCUGUGGCUGGAGGCCUGGAGGGACUGGGAGCCCAGGAGACGUGGGCUGGAGCCAGCAGGUCAGUGGGUGCUCGGGAAGAGCUGAACCUUUAGUGCUUGUGGCCUUUGGCUGACAGUGUCUUCUGGAACCAGAGCAGGUGAACUAUUUACAUAGACAAUGGCUGCAAGUAGAGUUUCUUGGGAAGUUUCUCAAUAGCAAAACGUCCCUGAAGGUCCUGUGCGGGCCUUGCUGCCUCUGUUGCCAGGGCGUAUCAUCCCUGCCCAUCACCUUCUCUGAAGCCCACCCAUCCUCAUUAGCUUCUCCACCACUGAGCUGAAGCAUGGCAGGCGGGAGCUGCCUGAUGCCUUGAGGUCUGAUCUGCCUCCAGAGUGCUCUGGUUUGCACCGUGCGUUUCUCAGGGGUCCACAUUUCUCCUGGUUUUCUCUAACGUCUGCACGCCCCUCAGAGACAGAGCCUGGCCCACCUCUGGCGACUAGGAUGGGACAAGCAGCUGCGAGCCUUCACGUUGCACGUGGGACACCUGCUCAUCCCCAAGAUGCGGUCUGGCUAAGGGAGGCUGGGGCCGCAUCUCUGUGGGGAUGCACCUAGGUACUUGGAGGCCAGAGCAGUGAUCCUCUCCACUGAAGGCCAGGGAUGGGCUAGGAGCAGGGUGCAAGCGGGAAGAUGUCAGCAGGUCCGCCUGCACCGGGCCCUGUCUGUCUCUGAAGUGUUAACUUCUUAGCAGAUUUCCUUUCUGGCCAAGGUCUCUGAGUUUGAAAAAUCUGACAUCUGCCAUUCCUCACGCCCCUCUGUAUCCCCAGGACACGUCAUUGCCUCUCUGUGGAGGUGGCUGGGGCAGGCAUCUGGGCUGUAGGUGUCUUGAACCCUGUGACUCUCGGGGCAAUGUAGCCGGAGGCUGAGGGACCAGCAUUUGGUGCCUUGGGAAGCAGGGAACAGCAGACCUGUUUCCAAAUGGGCAAGGGGUCUCGGGGAGGCCAUCUAGGCCUUCUCCGUACCUCCCUCCCCUGCGUCACAGCCAGGGUGUCGCCUCCUCUGCCCUCGCCGGGCCCCAGUGCACAUGUCAGGUGGCAGCCCCACCCCCAUCCUCUUAGUUCUUGGGUGGAAUGUGAGGGCUCAGGGCCAACAACGAAAGGGCAGCAGUAGCAGCAACUGUGGCCCCUCUCCUGGAGCCUGUGGGGGCGCUUUCCAGGCAGGCUCUUUGCCAUGACAGUGUGCUCCUGCCCUAGCGGCUCCUCCUCCACCCAGCCCCCGCCAUGCUGUAAAUAUUUGUCAUUGUGGACUCCGACAGGGUCAGAGGGACAGGCCUAAUGAACUGAAACUCCUCCGAGAUGCCAGCUCCGUCUCCCUGGGUGCCUGCUGCCCUGGGGAGGCCCUGGAGAGCCAUGGAAAUUGUGAGACUGUGUGCACGCGAACCUAUGUAUGAGUGUGUGUGUGUGUGUGUGUGCGCGUGUGCGUGUCUGUCUCAUUCAGCUCCUCCUCCCCUAGGCAGCACCCUGGAGAGGAGUGGCCAUCCACACCUUCUCCUCCAGCUUCCACGUCUUGUUUUCGGCUUUCCCUCCUUCCUCCCUCCUCUUUCCCUUCUUUCUUUCUCUCCUUCUUCAUUUGAGGGGGGAAGAGUGCUGUACAAAGUCACACAAACAAGUUUACAGUUGUAAGUGCAAUGACCCGAGUCCUCCAGCCGCCCUCGUGAACUGUGUGCCGUCCUCCCGUGCUCUGUGAGAACUUGUGGUACUUUCAGUGUCCCUCCCCCUGCAUUGUGACAAGGUAAUUCUGUGGUAUCAGAAUAAAAAGACUUGAUAUAAACAAUCCA